UACCUGCGGCUCGAGUGGUAACCGCUAUUAUUGGGCCUAAAGCGUCCGUAGCCGGUUUGGUAAAUAUCUGGGUAAAUCGUGAGGCUUAACUUCACGAAUUUCGGAUAGACUGCCAGACUUGGGAUCGGGGGAGGUCAGAGGUACUCCAGUGGUAGCGGUGAAAUGUUGUAAUCCUUGGAGGACCACCGGUAGCGAAGGCGUCUGACUAGAACGAGUCCGACGGUGAGGGACGAAGCCCUGGGGCGCAAACCGGAUUAGAUACCCGGGUAGUCCAGGGUGUAAACAAUGUGGGCUUUGUAUUGGAGGUUCCACGUGGGCGUCCAGUGCAGAAGAGAAGUUGUUAAGCCCACCGCCUGGGAAGUACGGUCGCAAGGCUGAAACUUAAAGGAAUUGGCGGGGAGCACAGCAACGGGAGGAGCGUGCGGUUU
rnacentral:rRNA from 1 species